AUUGAACGCUGGCGGCAGGCUUAACGCAUGCAAGUCGAGCGGAGAGAGGUAGCUUGCUACUGAUCUUAGCGGCGGACGGGUGAGUAAUGCUUAGGAAUCUGCCUAUUAGUGGGGGACAACAUUUCGAAAGGAAUGCUAAUACCGCAUACGUCCUACGGGAGAAAGCAGGGGAUCUUCGGACCUUGCGCUAAUAGAUGAGCCUAAGUCGGAUUAGCUAGUUGGUGGGGUAAAGGCCUACCAAGGCGACGAUCUGUAGCGGGUCUGAGAGGAUGAUCAGCCACACUGGGACUGAGACACGGCCCAGACUCCUACGGGAGGCAGCAGUGGGGAAUAUUGGACAAUGGGCGCAAGCCUGAUCCAGCCAUGCCGCGUGUGUGAAGAAGGCCUUAUGGUUGUAAAGCACUUUAAGCGAGGAGGAGGCUACUUUAGUUAAUACCUAGAGAUAGUGGACGUUACUCGCAGAAUAAGCACCGGCUAACUCUGUGCCAGCCGCCGCGGUAA
rnacentral:rRNA from 1 species